CCAGAACGAUUGGGAAAAAAUCUCGCGAUUCCCAGAAUUUUGCUGCAGUGAUCUUCAUCGAUCAGUUCUUGGAGAGUGACGCGAGGCCAGUGACGCGAGAGGCCAAUGACGCGAGGCCAGCCAUUCAUCUUCAUCUGCCUCUCCUCAUAUUCUUGUCCUAGCAAGGACUUGAUCUAUACGCGAAUCUAGCUCUUCCAGGUUGCCGUAUAUAAUAGGCUCUUCCCCGCCUAAUUUUUCACCUCGAAGAAGAGCCAAUUUCCUUUCAUCCAGCAUCCUUACCGAGUCUCAAGCUAUCAACCGUCCUCGCGGCCUCAAGGAAUAGUGAAAUCGCAUCCGGUCAUCCCCGGCCAAGUACAUGGCUCCGCAGGGCAGAGGAACCGUGCACAUCCGAACUCAAGAAAGCUACGGCAAUGAGGAAGUCCGAAGGAUGAGCUGGGGCAAUUGCUUCACCGUGCAGGUCAAGGGGAUCAAAGCGAAUGGUGUCGUGACGACGGUGGAAGGCCUCGACGAGAAACUGAAGCACGACGUCAUCCUCUCGGAUCUCAAGAAGAAGUUGCAUUGCAAGGGGGACAAAUACAGGACGGAGCAGGCCGGCGAUGUCAUCCGACUCAAUACCAACCGCACCGAGGUGGUGAAGGAUUUCCUGUGGAAAAAUGGCCUGGCAGCAAAACACAAGAUCAACUGUACCCCAAGCGUUUAGUGUUUUUCCCUCCUAUGUGGGACGAACGCUUAUGAUUCGACUAUGGGUGUAAAAAGCAUGUAACUUGUACUUCUUAAUCGUCAAAGUACGACGAAAUGAGAUGGACAAUCUCGCUCUAUGUGGGUUGGACGCUUAUGAUUUUGAGCAUGGAAGUUAAAGUACGUAACUUGUACUUCUUAAUUAUAAUAGUAUAGUAAAAUAUAA